rnacentral:lncRNA from 1 species
AUGACCUUGAAGCCGCUCUCAUCCCUCAUUGGAAUUCCUUCUGAUCUUCCCAGGAUGGCUCUCACAGCUAGGGGCAAAGAUGCUCCAAGAUGCCUCCCAGGCUCGAACCCAGACAUGAGAGCCGCAGGCCAGCCCCAACAAUUGUUUGCAGGAGAAUACCAAGAAAAACACCAUGAAUGUGACAUCAUGGAUUUAGGACUUCCACUGAAGGCAUACCCACGACUAGAAAAUGUCUCCCCUGAUGCAGACUUGACAGUCCUAUCUGAACAGCUUUGCAUAUCAACUUGCUGAAAGGUGAGAUCAUCUUUCUCCCACUGGGUCCUUUCUUCUCUGUGCCCAUGUUUUACUUAC